AACCUCCGGGGGCAAGAGGUUCGACCCGAGCGAAGCGAGAGAACGUUGCGUCAGCAACGGCCCGCAGGGCGAGCCACGCAGUGGCGAGUCAUCCUCUAUCACCGACCA
rnacentral:sRNA from 5 species